rnacentral:rRNA from 1 species
UACGUAGGGUGCAAGCGUUGUCCGGAAUUAUUGGGCGUAAAGAGCUCGUAGGCGGCUUGUCGCGUCGGCUGUGAAAACCUGGGGCUCAACCCCGGGCCUGCAGCCGAUACGGGCAAGCUAGAAUUUGGUAGGGGAGACUGGAAUUCCUGGUGUAGCGGUGAAAUGCGCAGAUAUCAGGAGGAACACCGGUGGCGAAGGCGGGUCUCUGGGCCGAAAUUGACGCUGAGGAGCGAAAGCCAGGGGAGCAAACGGG